UUUUCGGGUCUUUUAUAGUGUAGUUUCAUCCUUAUUACUUCCCCUAAUCAAAUUGCGGGUUCGUAGAGGAACCUUUCUGACUUGAGAUUGAGUUUUGUUAGUUGUGGUUGCUGAUAGGGGACUUGAAGAUAGUUAGCUCCAGUUGGGUUAAAGAGUGCGUUGGAUCCCUUUUGAUUUAAUAGGACUUUAAAAAGACUUCCGCUGUUAUUUAUUUAUAAGAUUUAUGUUCUGGUUUGUAAUAAUUAUUUUACAUUCUAUUUAGUUGGUCUGUAAUAAUUAGUUAUAACUUAUUGGUUAUUGUUUUAGUCAGAACCAUUAGCCUUGCAGUUAUUAUUAAUAAUUAUCGCGGCGUAGCACCUUU